GGAAUAUUGGUCAAUGGACGAGAGUCUGAACCAGCCAAGUAGCGUGCAGGAUGACGGCCCUAUGGGUUGUAAACUGCUUUUAUCAGGGAAUAAAGUGCGGCACGCGUGCCGUUUUGUAUGUACCUGACGAAUAAGGACCGGCUAAUUCCGUGCCAGCAGCCGCGGUAAUACGGAAGGUCCGGGCGUUAUCCGGAUUUAUUGGGUUUAAAGGGAGCGUAGGCCGGAUAUUAAGCGUGUUGUGAAAUGCAGGUGCUCAACGUCUGCACUGCAGCGCGAACUGGUAUCCUUGAGUGCGCUGGAAGUCGGCGGAAUUCGUCGUGUAGCGGUGAAAUGCUUAGAUAUGACGAAGAACUCCGAUUGCGAAGGCAGCUGACUGUAGCGUUACUGACGCUGAAGCUCGAAGGUGCGGGUAUCGAACA
rnacentral:rRNA from 1 species